GCUGCCGCGAUGGGUUUACGCCAUCUUGUCCGUCCUGCGGGGGAUCCGGGCCCGGGAGGAUGGAUGGGUGGGGCCGGCGGUGCAGUUCGCAGAACAGAAAGUGUGAGCCCUAGAGUGCGGAGCGCCUGGCGAACGGCACGAGAGCUUGCAGCAGAGCCCCCAACAGGGGCUCCCCUCUUAACUACGGAAACCCCCCCUUUGAAAAGAGGAAGACAACACAGUAACAUUUUAGGAAGAUUAACUGGCAACACUGUACACGCCGGAUGGAUUGGAGGGAAGAGGUCAGAGACGCAGAGACCAACCAGGACAGAACAAUAACAACGCAGGCAUCGAUGGAUAACCACUGGACCAGAGGGGCGGCCGCAGCGCUGGGAAUGACGGGAGAGCGAUUGCAGGGAAAGGACGAGCAGGCCUUGGGGUUUCAUUUGCUUUGAGAGGUGCGGGAGAGAGAAGAGUUACAAAAACUGCAAGUUGGAGACUGGUGGUUGGAAGGAUGAUGGGACCAUCGAUGGAAAUCAGAAAGUCACGAGAGGUCUUCUUCCUGAGGGAAGACAUUAAAUCUAGUUUGUGCUGAGUUGAGAUGAGGUGAUGGUGGGAUACCCAACGAGGCUGUGAGCAGUGGGAGAGGAGAGUGAGCCUUGUGUCUAGGAGGGAGGCUGACAUGCUGGUACGCAGUCACUGCCCCUCCUGGCCUGGUGGUGGGACUCGGCAACUGCCCUCGGACCCCUGGUACCGCCUGGCCCAGCAGGGGCCGCGGGAACUCUGCUUCGGCAAGACAGGCGACAGCAUCCCUUCUGGUCACUCGGCGUCUGUCUGUGCCACUGGUUUCCAGUACGAUUACCAUUUCAAGACGCAGAGACACUGAGUUUAGAGUCAUAGCAAAGAGGGGGCCAGAAGAGAGAAAAAAAAGAGAGAAAGUGACUGGACCCAGAGCAGAGGGCUGGAUGCAGCGCCCAUGUUCAACACCCACAUUAAGAAAGUAGCCCAAGAAAGAAGAAGGAAAAUGGUGUGAAUAUUCAUAGCAGGGUUAUUCAUAAUAGACAAAAAACGGGAAUUACCCAAAUGUCCAUCGACAGACACCAUGUAGCAUGUGUAUACAAGGGAAUUUUAUUCAGCAGUUAAAAGACGGAAGUACUGAUAAAUGCAACCGCAGGAGUCAACCUUGAAAAUGAGCGGCAUGAAAGAAGCCAGACACAAAAGGCCACACACUGGACGAUGCCCCUGACAUGAAGUGUCCAGGCCAGGCAAGUCUGUGGACUGAAAAUAGAGAGGAAGCCGGCUUUUUUGGAUAAAGUGCAGAAGUGUGAGGACUGACUGAACUGGAGGCAACGGGUCUGCAGCAGCCGUUCCGGGAAACAAUGAGUUUGAACUGGGGAGAACAGACGGAUCCAGCCUGGAGGCGGCAGGAAGGCUCGCUGUCAGCACAGACCCAACACGGAGUGGAACACAUUACAUGCCGUGCCCCUCACCCCUUGCUGAAUCUUCCUAGGUACAAACUGGAAGGACUGAGCUCUCCUCAUCCUCCUUGAAGUUCCCAGCCCAGUAGCUGGCUCGUGGUAAGCAGUCACACUUUUCUGAACACGUGGACGGUUGGAGGAACAUGAUAGAGCGCCGUGAGGUUCCAGCGGCUGACACGAGCGCAACCUGUUCUUUUUCUGGGCCACAGGGUUGUUUGUCUCCACCUUUCUGUCCCUUCCGCAGACACUGCCUCAGCAGCUGAAAGCACACAAUGGAACAGUUCGCCUUUCAGCAAACAGAGUGAGCAGUGGAAAAUGGAAAGCGUCAACCCUGAAUGCAAGCGACGGCAUGCUGAAUGCAGUUCCAAGCGGAGGGAAACUGCUUAUUUUCACUGAAACGAAGUCCUCUGAGAAUUGCUUCGCUCCAGUUCUGGCUGUCCUGUUGACAACACUAGUUCACCAAGGCUUAGCACGCCCCCUGUCGGAUUUAGCUGGCAUUUAGUAAGAAGAGGAGCAGUAGAGAAACAUCUAAGUAGGGGUAGGGCCCUUUCUGCAAAAUUCUUUGUUAAUGAGGCAUCAGGUGACGCACGUAUUUACUAGACUACCUCUAGAACCUAAUUUGACUGAUCUCAAAUACUGUCAUUCCUAUUUGAAGAGUAAAAAUAUUUUGCUGAUGGGAAAGCUGAAAUGGCAUGGACUUAAUUCCUUCAGCAAGUACACAGCCACAAAAAUCAAGUCAACCACUAGAAUUUCUCUUCAGCACCACCCUCCACCCCGCCCUGCAACAGGGAGGUUUACAUUGUAAUCUCUAAACGUUCACUGAGAGAGAACUAGUUAAAUAAAUAUAGUGCAUCUGUACUUUGGAAAACAAGACAGCUCCACAUAUACUGAUAUGGAACAAUCUUCAAGAUAUAUUAAUGACUGAAAAAAAUGCUGAGCAAUAUAUAUAUAUAUAUAUUUUGAUGUUAUAUGCAGAGACUUUCUAUGGAAGACUCCACAAGAAAAUAGUAACAAUUAUCUCCUGGGAAGGAAAUUAGGUGCUGCAGACAGGUAGAAAGAAAAGUAAAAAGAAACCUUUUCACUAUAUUUUUGUGUGCUAUUCACACGUUGUAUCUUGUGUGUUACCUAUGAAAAUAACCAACUAAAAAGUGUAAGAACCUUGUGAAGGUUCAGUGAGUUUCUCUACUUUGUCACUUUUCUAGAAAUUUCUAGAGUUUGUCACUCUUUUUUCUAGAAAUCUUACCAAUGCUCAGUGGAAGCAACUUAGACUGCCAAAUACAUUUUCUUUUAAAUUCUAAAAUAAAUUGGCUGACCAAUUUAUUUUAUGACCAAUUUAUGUCUAGCAGGCAUAUAUAUAUGUAUAAUUAAAAAAUUGUUAUACAUAGUUUUAUAUAUUGUAUUUGACUUUAUAUGUCAGCUAUGGUUUUAUACUUGUAUACCGGCUCAUUCUACUUGAAUCUCAAACAAGAAAGUCAUUUGUUUCCGAGAAAGCAGCUAUUGAAGCGUUAGGGGAGUAUUUUUUCCAACAGUCACUGGGACUGCCCCGGGGGGCUACCCCAGACAGCUCUCCGGCUCCCUUCUGGGUUGGUGGGUUCUCCAACUGGGCUGAUGGAGCCCCAGGUGUCCACCAAGCGAUUUUUCCCUCUUCCUAACAAUAAGGCAUGCCAGAGUAGAACAGACCUUUUGCCAAGACCAUCGUCUGUCCAGCUGGGGAAACCCAAGCCUGGUUUCCUAACUGGGGAAAGGUUUGUUGCCUUUCUGGGGGAAAGGCGGGUGGUGCUGCUCCAGGGAACUCACAGUUCCAGGGCUGUGCUGGAGAGCUCAGUGGGCUUGCAUGGGCAGCCUGGACUUCUGAGCUAAGGGUCCGCCUUGGUCCUGCUCCUCGGUACCCAUUACAAUAGAAAAUACGUCUGUAGUUAAUUCUCAGGCUGGCUGGCUCAAAAGCAGCACGGGCCGGCGGCCGCGCCUGCUCAUCCUGUACGAAUGAGAGGUGCAGCGUUAAGGGAGAAAGUGUGGGCGGAGCCCAGGGACCUGGUUUGAGCGCCAAGCCGAUGCUUCCCUGCAGGUGCACUGUGGCAGGUCACUUGCCCUCUCCAGGCCCUCCUGUUCCCGCUGGUCCGGUGAGAAGGUGAGGUCCGACCAUUGCUCUGGUUGCUGAGCGCGGAUCUUCGAGUGUGGAGAGAAGGGUGCGUUCCCAGACCCUGCUCUGAGGUCAGUGCCAGCUAGGCCUCUGGGGCAGAGGUCAGCACGGA